rnacentral:rRNA from 1 species
GACGUAGGGCGCGAGCGUUGUCCGGAUUUAUUGGGCGUAAAGAGCUCGUAGGCGGCUUGUCGCGUCGGCUGUGAAAUCCCGUGGCUCAACUGCGGGUCUGCAGCCGAUACGGGCAGGCUAGAGUUCGGUAGGGGAGAUUGGAAUUCCUGGUGUAGCGGUGGAAUGCGCAGAUAUCAGGAGGAACACCGAUGGCGAAGGCAGAUCUCUGGGCCGUAACUGACGCUGAGGAGCGAAAGCGUGGGGAGCGAACAGG